rnacentral:lncRNA from 1 species
CAUUAGGCUCAGCUGGUUACAUUUGAAUGCUUAUUGACCCAUUGGGCCCUAGAAAUUGACAAUUGGAGGCUGUUAAAGGAGAGAAACAAAAAGCAGGAAAAAAGUCACUUUCAUGAUCUUUUCAGACUGAUGCCCUUCUGUUUUCCCGAGGUAGUUACUUUUUAGGACAAACACCAGUGCUCCACUGACUACAACUUUAGCUGGAAGAUCUACAAGAAAGUUUCAUCUUAAAAGUAAGAUUUUAUUCUGUCCCAUUUGAGGGUUGUGACUCAGAAAUCUUUAGCUACAGCAUUUUGCACUCCCAGAAAUUGAGUCAACUGA